GUCUCAGUAGCUCAAUUGGAUAGAGCAUCCCCCUCCUAAGGGGAAGGUUGCAGGUUCAAUUCCUGCCUGGGACGCCA
rnacentral:tRNA from 135 species